UUUUUCUAUUUAUUUAUUUUUUCAUUCCGGUUUAUAUAUUAAAGGUAGUACUUCAGUAGUAUAUAACCCUGAGUGGUCUGGUGGAGAAGGGUAGUGUGCAUGUUUUUGAGUGGGGUGGGUUCAAUACUCAUGUGUGGCUUUUUUGGCAUUUUAUUUCUUUUAGCUAUAUUAUUUUUUCUUUUAGCAUUUUAGUUUCUUUUUAUGUUUAUGCCUUUAUUACACUCAUAUGUUCAUUUUUGUUAAUAAUGUAAAGUUGUUGUAUUUUAAUUUAAUUCAAAACCAUUUUAAAACUAUAAAAAUCAUAUUUUUUCUCGAUUUAAUAUCGAGCCCAUUUUUUACACCCUUGUAAGUCGAUUGCUUUUUAAGCAUCGCCAUCAACCUCACAUAGCUUACUCUUGGGCUUUCUUACAAUGAGCCGGUUCCCUUUCACUUACACUCAUACGUUGUUUAAUGCUCAUUCAUUUCAUCUCUUUGAUUAUUUGAUUUGAUCACAUACUUGUUUAAAUAUCUUAUUGUUUGAUUGUUGCCUACUUGUAUGAUGUAUGAGGCAUAUAUUUAUAUUGCUU
rnacentral:lncRNA from 1 species